UUCUGGCCCGACCUUAUAGCCUCAGUUACAGUAUGGAUACUUAUUAAAGGGAGAUUUCCCUGCAUUCUGCCCAGACCUUAAGCUUAUAGCUUCAGUUACAGUAUGGAUACUUAUUAAAGGGAGAUUUCCCUGCAUUCUGGCCUGACCUUAUAGCCUCAGUUACAGUAUGGAUACUUAUUAGAGGGAGACUUCCCUGCAUUCUGGCCUGACCUUAUAGCCUCAGUUACAGUAUGGAUACUUAUUAAAGGGAGACUUCCCUGCAUUCUGGCCCGACCUUAUAGCCUCAGUUACAGUAUGGAUACUUAUUAAAGGGAGACUUCCCUGCAUUCUGGCCCGACCUUAUAGCCUCAGUUACAGUAUGGAUACUUAUUAAAGGGAGACUUCCCUGCAUUCUGGCCCGACCUUAUAGCCUCAGUUACAGUAUGGAUACUUAUUAAAGGGAGAUUUCCCUGCAUUCUGCCCAGACCUUAAGCUUAUAGCUUCAGUUACAGUAUGGAUACUUAUUAAAGGGAGAUUUCCCUGCAUUCUGGCCUGACCUUAUAGCCUCAGUUACAGUAUGGAUACUUAUUAGAGGGAGACUUCCCUGCAUUCUGGCCUGACCUUAUAGCCUCAGUUACAGUAUGGAUACUUAUUAAAGGGAGACUUCCCUGCAUUCUGGCCUGACCUUAUAGCCUCAGUUACACUAUGGCUACAUAUUACAGGGAUAUUUUAUACAUUGUUCACAAUACUUUGACUUAGAACAAUAUGUACACUUUUUAAAGAGAUAUUUUCCCACAUUCUGCCGAGGCUUCAGAACCCCAGUUACAGUACAGAUGUGUCUAUAAGGGAGUCCUCACUCACAGUACAGACUUGUCCUAAAGGAAGACCUCCCCCUAUAACCUCAGUUACAGUACAGACUUAUCUUAAAGGGAGACUUCUCCAGUUACCAUAAUUACAACAUAGCCUUCAUCAGAAUAGCCAAACGUUGCAAUAAAUGUCAGCACACAGCUAUCCAGGGUGAAGGGUUGUCUCCCUUUAAGUUGAUAAAUUUGAGUACAGCAAUGGUUAAAUGAUUUAUUCUGAACAGCGAUUGCAAAACAACUUAUACAGGAAUAUUCCAUUGUCAACAGACUUCAUUGCCAUCAAUGGUUAUUGGGUGUAUUUUUUAGACCUGUUAAUUCCUUGUAGGUAUGUAUAUUAAGUCAUUGAAAAACAACAUUGUAGCAAAAAAAUAAACACAUGAUUCUUUCAUGUUUGUGCAGUAAAUCUGUUGUACCAUGACAGGAAUUAUGUCCUAUGGCUAUAGUUGACCUGCUGUGGUAUGACAAUAAACUGAAAGAAUAGGUUGUUCUCUGACUCGGUUGAGUAGUAUAGGAAUAUUAAGGACAUAUUCUAGUUAGCCAAUAUUAUUUUUUUAUGCACCUGAAACAGCAGAGUUGUGGUGUAUCAGCUGAGAAAGUUUGACACGGCAAUGCUAGCAUCUCAGGUCGUACUUCCAGUCCCCUACACAACACUCCAGACUAGGGGCGGUAGGGUAGUCUAGUGGUUAAUGCAUUCACUUGUCAUGCCGAUUCCCUACAUGGGUACAAUGUGUGAAGCCCACUUCUGGUGCCCCCCGCCGUGAUAUUGCUGAAAUAUUGCUAAAAGCGGCGUUAACCAUACUUACUCACUCAAAGUGGCAUUAAACCUUACCAACUCACUCACUCCAGACUAGCCAUUUUAAGACAAGGAUGCUGUUCAAAGUGGCAUUAAACCUUACCAACUCACUCACUUGUUUACAGGGAUACUUUAGUUGAGAAACAUAUCCUGCAUUCCAUGGAAGUGAAUUUCAGUUGUUAGUUACAGACUUGUUGAAAUUAUAUUUCUGUGUACUUAGUUCAAAAAUAUUAGCAUGCGUUUGUUUUGUUUGUUUAGUUGUCUACUGUAAGUAUAUAUGAUUGUAGAUAGAAUUGUUUAGGGUAUCAUACAUGAGACUGAUAUCCUGUUGAUAUCGUGUAUAAAUGCAGAAAAAAAAUGUUCCCCUGAAAAUAUGAUCCUGUCGUGCAUAAAACAUUUAAAACAUCCACUUAAUUCAAGUCCAUUGUUUCUGUAGGGCAUAUCGAAGUGAAUACAUUUAAUGUAAACAAUCCUACUCACUAGUGAGAUAUGUUUAGUAACUUAAAACCUACUCACAUGAGAGAUAAUAUUAGUUGCAUGAAAGUUACUUACUAAGGAGAUAUGAUUAGUUACAUAAAAUACUCACUAGAAAGAUAAAAUUUCCUAACAGCUACUCACUAUGAAGAUAUGUUUCACUACAGGAUUGCCUCACAGUGUAAAUGUUUUUCCUUAUCAUUUCUCAGAGAAAGAGAAAUAAACUAAACCCAACUCA
rnacentral:lncRNA from 1 species